rnacentral:rRNA from 1 species
UGCAGUCGAACGAUGAAGCCCAGCUUGCUGGGUGGAUUAGUGGCGAACGGGUGAGUAACACGUGAGUAACCUGCCCUUAACUCUGGGAUAAGCCUGGGAAACUGGGUCUAAUACCGGAUAGGAGCGUCCACCGCAUGGUGGGUGUUGGAAAGAUUUAUCGGUUUUGGAUGGACUCGCGGCCUAUCAGCUUGUUGGUGAGGUAAUGGCUCACCAAGGCGACGACGGGUAGCCGGCCUGAGAGGGUGACCGGCCACACUGGGACUGAGACACGGCCCAGACUCCUACGGGAGGCAGCAGUGGGGAAUAUUGCACAAUGGGCGCAAGCCUGAUGCAGCGACGCCGCGUGAGGGAUGACGGCCUUCGGGUUGUAAACCUCUUUCAGUAGGGAAGAAGCGAAAGUGACGGUACCUGCAGAAGAAGCACCGGCUAACUACGUGCCAGCAGCCGCGGUAAUACGUAGGGUGCGAGCGUUAUCCGGAAUUAUUGGGCGUAAAGAGCUCGUAGGCGGUUUGUCGCGUCUGUCGUGAAAGUCCGGGGCUUAACCCCGGAUCUGCGGUGGGUACGGGCAGACUAGAGUGCAGUAGGGGAGACUGGAAUUCCUGGUGUAGCGGUGGAAUGCGCAGAUAUCAGGAGGAACACCGAUGGCGAAGGCAGGUCUCUGGGCUGUAACUGACGCUGAGGAGCGAAAGCAUGGGGAGCGAACAGGAUUAGAUACCCUGGUAGUCCAUGCCGUAAACGUUGGGCACUAGGUGUGGGGACCAUUCCACGGUUUCCGCGCCGCAGCUAACGCAUUAAGUGCCCCGCCUGGGGAGUACGGCCGCAAGGCUAAAACUCAAAGGAAUUGACGGGGGCCCGCACAAGCGGCGGAGCAUGCGGAUUAAUUCGAUGCAACGCGAAGAACCUUACCAAGGCUUGACAUGUUCUCGAUCGCCGUAGAGAUACGGUUUCCCCUUUGGGGCGGGUUCACAGGUGGUGCAUGGUUGUCGUCAGCUCGUGUCGUGAGAUGUUGGGUUAAGUCCCGCAACGAGCGCAACCCUCGUUCAUGUUGCCAGCACGUA